CUAAAGUUUACUUAAUAGUUGCUGCGGAUUUUAUUUAUGUUUCCUGCGGAUUUAGCCGCAGGUAACUUACCUGCAUAGUGAAAUCCUAGGUAACAAUUAUCGGGGAUAUGGUUCCGCCGGGAAAUAUGCAGGUAAUGGGUGUUCUUGUGGAAUUGUUGCUUAACUCCGCAGGACAAACUCAGAUUUCUAGUAGUGCUGAUCACCAUCGCACCAAGCUUUUGCCUCAAUUGGGUUUCAAUCUCCACAUCAUUACUGUUGCUUCUUGUUGGUCCAAUACUGUCUCAUACAGCAUGUGCUGCGCUGACCAUCUUCUUGACGUUGUUUGUGCUCAUUGCUUCAUGGUCUGACAAUUUUUCACAUUCAACAAUAUGAAGCAAUGACAUACUAGGAUGUUGCAAAGUACUACUCUACCUAUAAUGCCUAACAGGCUCAUGAGUUUGCAAUGUUUUGAUUGCCUUAUUUUAUUGGAAGGCAAGAUGUUGUGAUAGAGAAGGAUGGAAUGGAGUCGAUAGCUAUUUAGAACAGAGUAUAGUGACUUAAAGCAGCACUGAUGUUUGAAAGCAGUGGGAAGGUUAGAGGUUGUUGUCGUUAGCUUGUACAUGAUGGUCUUAGAUAGAUUCUUUGUCUCUGAUUCAUACUGGUUGUUGUCGUUAGCUUGUACAUGAUGGUCUUAGAUAGAUUCUUUGUCUCUGUUUCAUGCUUUGUCCUUUUGUUUCUUUUUCUUGUUAGAUAUGACUAAAUUACAAGGCUUUCCGAACUAAUCUUUUGAUGGAAGGUGUGAAUGCUAUCAUGAAUAGAACUGAUGUUGUGUACUAAUUUAAAAGAUAUGUUGGAAAUGAAAGUUUA